UGAGCUCCACCUCUUCCGCUCAAAAAAAAAAAGAAAAAAAAAAGAAAAGAAAACCUCUUCGUUCUGCAGGCCGAUUCAUUCCUCCCCUCCCCUCCGGCCUCCCCCACCGCCGCCUCCGCCAACCACCGCCGGCCUCCGCCCUCGCCCUCGCCCCCACAGCUGGUGACCUCGUCUACCUCCCCUCUCCUCUCCCCUCCUCUCCUCUCCUUAUCAGAAGAGAAGAGAAGAGAAGAGAAAAGGGUGGUCGGGCGACCAUGCCAGAUGCGCCCACAACCGGCCGGCGACCACAGCACGUCAUCGUCAUCGUCAUCGUCGAAAACUCUUCUUCCACCUCCCUCCCAGAUUCAUGUGCUGCUCUCGGUAGGUGCACGCCAAACCCUAGCCGCAGCCCGCAGCGCUAGCUGUUGCUGUCAAAGUUUGCCCGGCACAAGCAGCUCCGCUACCAGGACACGGACGGACCGCUCAAAUCCAUGGAUUUCUUCGAUUCCGUUCAUGCUUGCCGGGGAAUGAAUUGAUUGGAUGCGAAAAUUGCAUUUUGCUGCAGGGGCAUGACGGAGUGAACCUCAUCGACUCGCCGCAUCUGGGAAGGCAUUAGGACGAGCAGGAGCAAAUCAGCCCAAUGAAGAAGCACCUGACACCAGGCGCAGGAGGCGAUGUUGAUUAAGCUGAUGGCAUUAAGAUGGCUGUGACCAGGACCUGGAUCUGUUGGAUGAUGGCACCCCAUAAUAAUCUGGCACAGACAACAGCCAGAUGCAUCAGCCAUAAGGCUGCACCAUCUCCAAGUAUCCGUGGGUUAGUCGCAGUGCGAGACAGAUACCGACCCUCUAUUAGGCUGGUCUGGUGGUGAUUUCAACGAUUGCAGAUCCAAGGCAUGGAGAACUCCAAGGAGUUUGUCGACAGGCUCGGGACAUGUUGAGGCAGAGGAACAUUGAGCCGGAGGAAGGCAAUAACAAGUAUCGGCUCUGGAAGGUGUAGACGAAGAUUACUAGCCACAUCUUUGACUCGUAGGCCGUAGCUAUGCAUAUUUUGGACUAAGCUAUGUUCAAUUUUAAUCCAUCUAACAUACUAAUGAAAAUUUUCCUUCGGGUGUGUCACAUAACACGUGGAAUAUGAAAUUUGAUGGGAUGCUCAUAGAAGAUGAUGUCAAGAAUGUGGCUACACAGAUGAUCACAAAGAGAAUACUAGCACUGGGCCUUUUGAUCUGCCAUGUGAUUCAGAAAGCUCUUUAGCAUAGUUUGCAACAACAACAAAAAUGGAGGAUUGGUCAUUUGUAAGGGUGGAUAUCUUAGAGGUGGCAGCCACCCAAAUUGGAGUUUAAUUUUAAUAUAUUUCCAUGUCUAAAGUUUCACGCUAUAUGACAACUGGUGCAACGGCUUCCUCCGGGGUGAUGUCCAGCUCGACCCUCUUUUCUUUGACUCCAUCAACCAUCUUAUCACGCGUUGAUCACCUCUACUGCUCUGCCACAAGAUUACAUGGCAGGGUGAUGCAAAGAAGGGUGCUGAUUUGAUCAUAUUUUAAGAGAAGGAAAUGAAUAGGAUGAAGAAAUAUCAUCGUAUAAUCUCCUCUCCAAUUCACACUUAUAGAAGGCGGUGCUGCUCAAAACUGAAGUUUUCUAUGGGUGUAAAACUGGGAGCAACCAUGGAUCAUUUAAUUCACUCCUUGUGGGCAUACCACCGGCAUCGUGGCAUAGACCUCUGGUCCCUCCUGAGCACGGCCUCCUUUUUGCCUUGCAGAUGUAGGCCUCCCCGUCCAGCGCACUGCAUCGGAAUUGAUUGUCGCCCUUGCUAAUGUCCAACUUACACCAGUCGAUGCCCCAACCCACACCCGCGCACAGAGAUGAGAAUGGAAAAUGAAGCAAACAAGAAGAUUGGGAGGAGGGCGAGGGGUACAUGGAGGCGCGGUCGUUCUGCCGUCGUGGCCGUCCACAAGCACGACGGGGCCGCAAGCGACCUGUGUGCCGUGGGUAGCUGUUGGGAACAUCGAGCCGUGACACAACCAGUUCGCGGCGGAUCCACAUCAACGUCCCCGUUUGUAGAAUUGCCCAAGAAAUUCCGAUGUAACUCAAAAUUGUGGUAUGUCAACCACUUACCGUAAAUUUAUAUGUAUGUUGUUUUGGGUCCUCUUUUACACUUGGAAGAUAAAAUUAAGUUACAUCAAUUUUGUAUUAUUACUAAAUGUAUAGAUGAUAUUUGUGGCAACAGUCAUAUUCUGCACAUGACAUGAGUUAUGUGAAUUACAAUUAUGUUUUUAUUA